rnacentral:rRNA from 1 species
GACGAACGCUGGCGGCGUGCUUAACACAUGCCAGUCGAACGGGCCCGCCCCUGUUUUUGGGGGUGGGUUGAGUGGCGAACGGGUGAGUAUCACGUGAGUAACCUGCCCCCUGCUCCUGGAUAACUGCUUGAAAGGGCGGCUAAUACGGGGUGUGCCGGCUGGUCCGCAUGGGCCUGGUCGGGAUAGUUUCAUCUUCGGGGGUUUCGGUGGGGGAUGGGCUCGCGGCCUAUCAGCUUGUUGGUGGGGUGAUGGCCCACCAAGGCGGUGACGGGUAGCCGGCCUGAGAGGGUGGGCGGCCACACUGGGACUGAGACACGGCCCAGACGACUGCGGGAGGCAGCGGUGGGGGGUAUUGCACAAUGGGCGGAAGCCUGAUGCAGCGACGUCGCGUGAGGGAUGGAGGCCUUCGGGUUGUGAACCUCUUUCUCCGGUGGUGAAGGCCCUGUCCGUUGCGGCGGGGUUGACGGUAGCCGGGUAUGAAGCGCCGGCUAACUACGUG